AUUAAUUAAAUUAAAUUUAGGUAUAAAGAUAUUAAAUGAUAAAUCAUUAAAUUUAAAAGAUUUGGCGGUAUUUUAUAAAAUUAGAGGAAUCUGUAAAGUAAUUGAUAGUCCACGAUAAGAUAAACUUAAGUAAAAAUUUAUGUAUUGCUGUUUAAAAAAUUUAAUUAAGUAUAAAUUUUAUAUUUAAUAUUUUAAUAAAAUUCAAGUCAAAAUAUAGUUUAAUUAAGAAAGUUAUGGAUUACAAUUUUUAUAAAAAAUAAUGGAUAAUUUGAUUUAAAAAAAUUUGAAAUUGGAUUUAAAAGUAAAUUUAAUAAAUUAAUUAAAUUGAAUAAUUUUAUAAAAUGUGU
rnacentral:rRNA from 1 species